rnacentral:rRNA from 1 species
CGACCGGCGCACGGGUGAGUAACGCGUAUCCAACCUGCCCUUUACUAUGGGACAGCCCGUCGAAAGGCGGAUCAAUACCGUAUGUUGUCAUGUUGAUGCAUAUUUUCAUGACCAAAGGCUUCGGCCGGUAAAGGAUGGGGAUGCGUCUGAUUAGCUUGCCGGCGGGGUAACGGCCCACCGGGGCGACGAUCAGUAGGGGUUCUGAGAGGAAGGUCCCCCGCAUUGGAACUGAGACACGGUCCAAACUCCUACGGGAGGCAGCAG